GGUAAAGUGCCAACACACAAGAAGAAGCCCAGUAGUUUUCGCUAGUGUUCGCUAGCGGCUAAGCUACAAGCAAACGUGGUGUAGUCGGGUUUAAGGAAGCUUCACCAAACUUUCACCUGAGAUUAAGUCGACUCUUGGUGGCUUCCAGACGGGCUUUCGCCCGCUGUCCUCCCUGGUUCUCACGAUUUUAGGAGCAGGUGCUUUCUACCGGUAGCCAGGCCACAGGCUAACGCUAACGGAUAACGCUACAAAUGAACGUGAUGGAGUCGGAUAGCGGCUCUAAUCUUGUCGAAGCGGCCGAAUUUAAUGAGUGGAUUGGGCACGGACUGCAUCUGGCAAUCAAUGUAAGCCAAGCCCAUCGUCCUGAGCACCGGGAGUCGGAGUGCAUCAAGGAGGAGGAGGAAGAGUCGCCAUCAGUCAAGGAGGAGGAAGAGUUCGUACACAUUGAAGGUUUCAGAAAAUAUCUUGGUGCCGAGCGUCAUGAGCCAGAAUCUCCUGGCGUUAAAGAGGAUGUUGAGCUCCCCCAAAUCAAAGAGGAGGAGCCAAACCCCUGUCAACAGAAGCAACUUUCAAUCAAAAAGGAGGAGGAAGAGCUGCCAUGCUUUAAAGAGGAGGAAGGUAUUACCAGGUCCACUGGUGAGCCCUUGAAGAGUGAAGAUGGUCCGAGUGAGACCGGCAAAGGGGCGGAGCCUGCAAGUGGCAGCAGCUCGACAGAAGGAUUACAAGCAGACAUUUUCAUCGCUCCAUCAGACAGAAAUGGCACCACGUCACAGUCACCUUACAAUGAUGAUGGUCAUAAGAAAUCUCACCGUGACGACAAACCCUGCAAAUGCUCUCAGUGCGGGAAAACCUUCGCUCGUAAGAAAAAUUGCCGUAUACAUAUGAGGAACCACUCUGGGGAAAAACCUUUUGUCUGCUCAGUUUGUGAUAAAAGAUUCAGCCGAAAUGUAAACUUGAAAAUACACACAAGAACCCACACUGGCGAAAAACCGUUUCCCUGCUUAGUUUGUGGUCAAAGAUUCUCUCGAAAGCAAGUCUUACAAAAUCACGAAAGAAUCCACACUGGCGAAAAACCUUUUUCCUGCUCAGUUUGUGAUCAAAGAUUCACUAAAAAGCACCACUUGAAAAUCCACUCAAGAAUCCACACUGGUGAAAAACCCUUUUCCUGCUCAAUUUGUUAUCGAAGAUUCACUCUGAAGCAACACUUAAAAGAACACACAAAAACCCACAAUCGUGAAAACCCUUUUUCCUGCUCGAUCUGUGGUCAAGGAUUCACUAGGAAGUAUCAGAUGAAGGGACACGUGUGUGUUGGUGUGAGAAGCAGUGGCCAAUGACUGUUUUGCUUGUCAUCCAUGCUGGCUUUGACAGAUUUUGCACGAAGGACGAUUGUAUUCUGUAAGCGCUUCCUUGAAUCCUGUUGAGGACAGGCACUUUUGGUGCCUUGCUUUGUCCAAUCAUUGUCUGAUGUGCAUCCACCUUAUUGCCUAAACCUCACCUGAUUGAACUCAAGUUAAGUGCAUUAUUUAUAUAAUACUGUCCCUCUUUCAAACUACACUUUUCACAUUUAAUAUUUUAAACAGCAGAUCCCUAAUUCCAAAAAUUCAAAAUCAUUCAUAAAUAAUGUCUUUAAAUGAAUAUGGAAAACUAGGCCUGCAAGCAGGACUGAAAAGGCCCUCGCAGCUUGGCGCAACUCGGACAGGUUAGGAUAGUAGAUCGUCCCGCUCUCAUCAUCUCCUGAGAACCUAACUUGCUCGAAACUCGCCUCAUUUUUGGGAUUAGAAAUACAUUCACACACCUAGGAGGAAAAACCCUAUUGGAGAGAGUGCAACAAAAAAGGAGGCGCAAAUGAACUGUGCAGCCAUGCCCUUAUUCAGUACCAAAAUUAAUUUCUAAUUGGGCCAAUUUGACCACGUGUGCCAAAUUCUGUGGCUCUGUAAGCUGCCUAAGUCCCUGAAAAAUUAUACUUCCUUUUAAUGUAAUUCAAUGUUUAAUCUACAAAACACUUAAUGGCCUUGGACCAAAAUACAUGCUUGACUUGUUAGAUUCCUAUGAGACAUCUAGACCCCUAAGGUCGUCUGGAACCGGUAUUCUGCAUGUUCCAAGAACAAGAACCAAGCAGGGUGAGGCAGCAUUUAGUUAUUAUGCUCCUCACCUCUGGAACAAGAUACCCGAACGUCUGAAGUAUGCUCAAACUGUUAGCUCUUUUAAAUCAGGGCUAAAAACGCUUUUGUUUAGCACUGCAUAUCCAUAACUGUCUAUAUAUUUCAGUCUACCUGCUUUCUAUUCCUCUUGUGCUUAUCUCCAUUGCUGAUUUCAAUUAUUAUUAGUAGUAAUAGUUUUUGUUUUAUUCUUAGUUUUGUUUUAUUUUUAUUUAUUUUUUUUUUAUUCUGUGAUUAAAUGCAAUCUUUUGUCUUGGUUUUUACGUUGUGUUGAUUUAAAUUUGAUUUUUAUGAUCUUCAUGCGAUGUAAAGCACUUUGAAUUGCCUUGUGUUGAAUUGUGCUAUAUAAAUAAAUUUGCCUUGCCUUGCCUAAUGGCGAACAAAGGGUUGUCACGGCAGCAGACAAAGAAAGACUUGUGGACGUUGGCCUUAAAAUGUAGUAUUACAAAUAAUACAAAAGGUCUUGAAACUACAAUGACCAACCUGAAAAGAACUGGACGAAUAUAAGUAAAAUGAGUGACUUUCUGUUGCCACUAGUUGGCGCUCCAGAGUUGAUGCAAAUGACCCCUACAGGACCUUUCAGGGUACGACUCAACAAGCAUGGGAAGUUUGGCGCAGAUAUGUUGUAUGUCUGCCAAGUUAUGACUGUUCAAAAUCUGUGGUGAGACAAAUGGCGACGGUGACUUUCACUUUCCUUUGUGGACCCCUGUGCUUCAACGAAACCUCAACAUUUUUCAUAAGGCACCUGAACACAUGUCUCAAGGCUCCCCUGAAACAGUCAGUGAGUAGCCGCUUCCAAUCAAGUCAAGGAAUACAAAAUCGUCUUCAUGAGGGCGGAUGUAGAACCAAGCCAGUCCCUCAAUACGCCGCAUCACAAACCAUGGAUGCUGGUAACACCGGACGGAGGCGUCGAAACUGCAGGCUGUACAUGUAACGUGGGUCCCGGGCGUUCGUGUAGUCGUGCUACUGCUAUGUUCUGGAAGGAAUGUUUUCCAAAAAUACGAAACCUAAAAUCUGGCGAAUGAAACGACUUGUUGCCUUUGCUAUUGACAUUUCGAUGAUGAUUGUAAUUAUGAGGUUUAACAAUUUUUACUACAACUACUGCUGCUGCUGCUGCUAGCCUGUUGCUAAUUCAGAGAUUUAUUUGUCAUUGACACCACCUCUCACAAGAUGAUAACAGAUGACAACGAAAUUCCGUUCGAUGACUGGAAAACGCUGUUAGACAAGGGAAGACGACUUGUCCGUUAAUAGACAUAUCUCGAGACUACGUGCAUUCUACUUUGAUGAUGGACGGCUCGACUCCCGGGGGCGGCCGAGAGCCAAGGGCUGGGACAGAUGGUGGUUCACCUCACGGCAGACCGUCAGCAUGAUCCCAAAAUCCAACUACGAGCUUUUUAACUGUAGCAACUUUAAGAUAUGCUAUUGGAGCUCGAAUUACCGAGGACAGCAGGAUAAAGUGCGCCUGAAUGCCGCCAAGGGUCUCGUAAUGUCGGGUGAAAGUUUGGCUCGCUUAAGCUCUGCUGUCUGAUAACACAUUCCUCGUAUGCUCAACCUUCAUUACUAUUGUUCUAAUCGUUUUAUAAAUUGUGAUUUAUUGACUUGUUUUGUACAUGCACCAAUCGUUUUAAAUGAAACAAGUGGAAUCAUUUUGUCUAUCUGUCGUUAUCUGCAAUAAA